AGCAAUGUGUGUUAGAGGGACAGGAUAAUGUUUUUUAGUUUUGAAUUUGAUUUUGAAAUCUUCCUUCUUAGUCUAUUGUAUUUCACAUAAUUUCUAUAAAAAUAGAUAUUUAGAGCAACUGAAACUUAAAUGUUUGCAUGAUAACAUAUUCUGCAUUGAUUAAUUUGUGUUCAUUCAUCAUUGACUGUUCUUUCAGUUCUGUCAGUUUAACCACUACAAUAUGAUGUAUCUUCUUUGUGAAAAGUUUGG
rnacentral:misc_RNA from 1 species